AUCUAGCUGAUAAGUCCCAAAUAGGACAAAACGUGCGUCUUAGAU
rnacentral:hammerhead_ribozyme from 1 species